rnacentral:rRNA from 1 species
AUUGAACGCUGGCGGAAUGCUUUACACAUGCAAGUCGAACGGUAGAGGGGGCAACCCCUUGAGAGUGGCGAACGGGUGAGUAAUAUAUCGGAACGUGCCCAGUCGUGGGGGAUAACGUAGCGAAAGUUACGCUAAUACCGCAUACGAUCUAAGGAUGAAAGCGGGGGAUCGCAAGACCUCGCGCGAUUGGAGCGGCCGAUAUCAGAUUAGGUAGUUGGUGAGGUAAAGGCUCACCAAGCCAACGAUCUGUAGCUGGUCUGAGAGGACGACCAGCCACACUGGAACUGAGACACGGUCCAGACUCCUACGGGAGGCAGCAGUGGGGAAUUUUGGACAAUGGACGCAAGUCUGAUCCAGCCAUUCCGCGUGCAGGACGAAGGCCUUCGGGUUGUAAACUGCUUUUGUACAGAACGAAAAGGUCUCUAUUAAUACUAGGGGCUCAUGACGGUACUGUAAGAAUAAGCACCGGCUAACUACGUG